GAGAACCUUACCAGGGGUUGACAUGACGGUAGUAGUGAAGCGAAAGCGGAACGACCCUUCGGGGAGCCGUCACAGGUGAUGCAUGGCUGUCGUCAGCUCGUGCCGUGAGGUGUUUGGUUAAGUCCACUAACGAGCGCAACCCCUAGUGCCAGUUACACGUGUCUGGCGCGACUGCCGGUAUUAAGCCGGAGGAAGGUGGGGAUGACGUCAAGUCAGCAUGUCCUUUAUAUCCUGGGCUACACACACGCUACAAUGGCCGGUACAGUGGGUUGCCAAGCCGCGAGGCGGAGCCAAUCCUCAAAAGCCGGUCUCAGUUCGGAUUGCAGGCUGCAACCCGCCUGCAUGAAGUCGGAGUUGCUAGUAACCGCAGGACAGCUAUACUGCGGUGAAUACGUUCCCGGGUCUUGUACACACGC
rnacentral:rRNA from 1 species